GGGGUAUAUAUAGCUCAGUGGUAGAGCAUUUGACUCGCAGAUCGAGAGGUCCCCGGUUCAAACCCGGGUGCCCCCU
rnacentral:tRNA from 1 species